CUGGUGUCAGCCGCCGCGGUAAUACCAGCUCUCCGAGUAGUGUGGAUGUUUAUUGGGCCUAAAGCAUCCGUAGCUUGCUAAGCAAGUCCCCUGUUAAAUCCACCGAUUCAAUCGAUGGAUUGCGGGGGAUACUGUUUGGCUAGGGGACGGGAGAGGUCGACGGUAUUUCCGGGGUAGGGGUGAAAUCCUAUAAUCCCGGGAGGACCACCAGUGGCGAAGGCUGUCGACUAGAACGCGCCCGACGGUGAGGGAUGAAAGCUGGGGGAGCGAACCGGAUUAGAUACCCGGGUAGUCCCAGCUGUAAACGAUGCAGGCUAGGUGUUUGGGCGGCCACGAGCCGCCCUAGUGCCGCAGGGAAGCUGUUAAGCCUGCCGCCUGGGGAGUACGGCCGCAAGGCUGAAACUUAAAGGAAUUGGCGGGGGAGCACCACAAGGGGUGAAGCCUGCGGUUCAAUUGGAGUCAACGCCAGAAAUCUUACCCGGAGAGACAGCAGAAUGAAGGUCAAGCUGAAGACUUUACCAGACAAGCU
rnacentral:rRNA from 1 species